AGGAGGGUCUGGGAGACGCGGCUCUUGGCUUCUUUGCGGGCUUUGGGCUGGUGGGCAGACAGGGAGAGACAGACAGACAGACAGAGCCCGGGGCGGCUGGAAGGAGUAGCAGUGUGCUCGGCGAGCUGGACGGAAGGCGCGGCUGGAGACCCGGAGCGGAGCGGAGCGGAGCUGCGCAGGCUCACAGCAGACAGAAGGGGGGAAGGAAGCCCGUCUCCGUGCCUGCCUGCACACAGUCCGGCUCCCCGUGCUUCAGGGGCCGAAAGGCACUCCUGGCCCCGGGCAGCCAAAGGCUUCCCGCCUUUGGUGUGCGGGUGCCUCCGCGUCUCAGGGACCCCUGCUUUCUGCCCUUGGCCACGGCCUGCUGGGGAGUUCCAGAAGACGUUGUUACUGCAGUUGGGAGUCAGGAACUUGGCAGGCAUCUUCCAUCUUCAUCUGCUCGCUGAGCUUUUCAACACAAAUCUACCGAAACGUACCACAGAGGAAGAGCUGUGUCCUGAGGUCCGUCUCCAGUCGGCCUUGCCCGUCCCGGCCUCUGCAAGCCUCCAGCUGCCCUCCAGACAUCACUCACUGCUCGUCCGGUGGACGUCUGAAAGCAAACAUGUCCAGGACAGAAUUCACUCUCUUUCCCCCAAACCCUCCUUACCUACCGCCUCCUCCUUGAUUUCUGUGGAGGGCGCAGCCUCUCGCCCUCCAGAUGGAGUGAGGUGCCAGGGCCUGUCGGUGCCACCCCACCCCUCUCUGGCCCGUCUCACCCGCCCCAUCUUUGGCCCAUCUCACCCCACCGCAUCUCUGGUCCAUGCCACCCUGUCCCGUCUCUGGCCCAUCUCACCCGCCCCAUCUCUGGCCCGUCUUACCCCACCGCAUCUCUGGCCCGUCUCACCUGCCCCAUCUCUGGCCCGUCUCACCCGCCCCAUCUCUGGUCCGUCUCACCCGCCCCAUCUCUGGCCCGUCUCACCUGCCUCAUCUCUGGCCCGUCUCACCCCACCGCAUCUCUGGCCCGUCUCACCUGCCUCAUCUCUGGCCCGUCUUACCCCACCGCAUCUCUGGCCCGUCUCACCUGCCCCAUCUCUGGCCCGUCUUACCCCACCGCAUCUCUGGCCCGUCUCACCUGCCCCAUCUCUGGCCCGUCUCACCCGCCCCAUCUCUGGUCCGUCUCACCCGCCCCAUCUCUGGCCCGUCUCACCUGCCUCAUCUCUGGCCCGUCUCACCCCACCGCAUCUCUGGCCCGUCUCACCCGCCCCAUCUCUGGUCCGUCUCACCCGCCCCAUCUCUGGCCCGUCUCACCUGCCUCAUCUCUGGCCCGUGUCACCCCACCGCAUCUCUGGCCCAUCUCACCUGCCUCAUCUCUGGCCCGUCUCACCCCACCGCAUCUCUGGCCCGUCUCACCCGCCCCAUCUCUGGCCCGUCUCACCCCACCGCAUCUCUGGCCCAUCUCACCCACCGCAUCUCUGGCCCGUCUCACCCGCCCCAUCUCUGGCCCAUCUCACCCCACCACAUCUCUGGCCCGUCUCACCCGCCCCAUCUCUGGUCCAUGCCACCCUGUCCCGUCUCUGGUCCGUCUCACCUUUGCAGCAUCUCCCCACCUCUUUGUCUCCUCUGACACUGCUUCCACCUCAAUGCAGGCCCUGCUCAGUAAACCUCAGUGGUACCCUACUUCCUCCAGAAGUAGAUACAAAAUGCCAUGUUUAUUUGGCAUUCAGAGCCCUUCCUAACCUGACCGUCUCCUACCUUUCCAGUCUUCUCAUCCUUGGUUCUCUACCAGGUACUCUUUGA
rnacentral:lncRNA from 1 species